CCUACGGGUGGCAGCAGUGGGGAAUAUUGCACAAUGGGGGAAACCCUGAUGCAGCAACGCCGCGUGAGGGAUGAAGUAUUUCGGUGUUGAAAGCUCUAUCAGCAGGGAAUUGAAAAGAAGCUACCUUAAAAAGAAGCCCCGGCUAACUACGUGCCAGCAGCCGCGGUAAUACGUAGGGGGCAAGCGUUAUCCGGAUUUACUGGGUGGAAAGGGAGCGUAGACGGUAAGGCAAGUCAGAAGUGAAAGCCUAAGGCUCAACCAUGGGAUUGCUUUUGAAACUGUCAAACUAGAGUACGGGAGAGGUAAGCGGAAUUCGUAGUGUAGCGGUGAAAUGCGUAGAUAUUAGGAGGAACACCAGUGGCGAAGGCGUCUUACUAGACCGAAACUGACGUUGAGGCUCGAAAGUGUGGGGAGCAAACAGGAUUAGAUACCCGGGUAGUC
rnacentral:rRNA from 1 species